UACGUAGGUGGCAAGCGUUGUCCGGAUUUACUGGGCGUAAGGAGCGCGCAGGCGGUCGUUCAAGUCGAGUGUGAAAGCCCCCGGCUCAACUGGGGAGGGUCACUCGAUACUGAUCGACUCGAAGGCAGAAGAGGGAAGCGGAAUUCCCGGUGUAGUGGUGAAAUGCGUAGAUAUCGGGAGGAACACCAGUGGCGAAGGCGGCUUUCUGGUCUGCUCUUGACGCUGAGGCGCGAAAGCUAGGGUAGCAAACGGG
rnacentral:rRNA from 1 species